rnacentral:rRNA from 1 species
AGUGAACGCUGGCGGUAGGCCUAACACAUGCAAGUCGAACGGCAGCACAGGAGAGCUUGCUCUCUGGGUGGCGAGUGGCGGACGGGUGAGGAAUACAUCGGAAUCUACUCUGUCGUGAGGGAUAACGUAGGGAAACUUACGCUAAUACCGCAUACGACCUACGGGUGAAAGCAGGGGAUCUUCGGACCUUGCGCGAUUGAAUGAGCGGAUGUCGGAUUAGCUAGUUGGCGGGGUAAAGGCCCACCAAGGCGACGAUCCGUAGCUGGUCUGAGAGGAUGAUCAGCCACACUGGAACUGAGACAUGGUCCAGACUCCUACGGGAGGCAGCAGUGGGGAAUAUUGGACAAUGGGCGCAAGCCUGAUCCAGCCAUACCGCGUGGGUGAAGAAGGCCUUCGGGUUGUAAAGCCCUUUUGUUGGGAAAGAAAUCCAGCUGGCUAAUACCCGGUUGGGAUGACGGUACCCAAAGAAUAAGCACCGGCUAACUUCGUGCCAGCAGCCGCAGUAA